rnacentral:snRNA from 1 species
AAGUAUUAUGAGUAAGGAAAACAACGAUCCGGGGUGAUGCCCGAAUCCUCACUGCUAAUGUGAGAAGUUUGGAGCAGGUAAAGGUUGCCCCCAAGGCGACCUGCCUACUUUGUGGGAUGCCUGGGUGUGGUGGUCUGCACAACCCCCUG